rnacentral:rRNA from 1 species
CCUACGGGAGGCAGCAGUGGGGAAUUUUGGACAAUGGGCGAAAGCCUGAUCCAGCCAUUCCGCGUGCAGGACGAAGGCCUUCGGGUUGUAAACUGCUUUUGUACGGAACGAAAAGGUUUCAGCUAAUACCUGGGACUCAUGACGGUACCGUAAGAAUAAGCACCGGCUAACUACGUGCCAGCAGCCGCGGUAAUACGUAGGGUGCGAGCGUUAAUCGGAAUUACUGGGCGUAAAGCGUGCGCAGGCGGUCUUGUAAGACAGAUGUGAAAUCCCCGGGCUCAACCUGGGAACUGCAUUUGUGACUGCAAGGCUAGAGUGCGGCAGAGGGGGAUGGAAUUCCGCGUGUAGCAGUGAAAUGCGUAGAUAUGCGGAGGAACACCGAUGGCGAAGGCAAUCCCCUGGGCCUGCACUGACGCUCAUGCACGAAAGCGUGGGGAGCAAACAGGAUUAGAUACCCUGGUAGUCCACGCCCUAAACGAUGUCAACUGGUUGUUGGGUCUUCACUGACUCAGUAACGAAGCUAACGCGUGAAGUUGACCGCCUGGGGAGUACGGCCGCAAGGUUGAAACUCAAAUGAAUUGACGG